rnacentral:rRNA from 1 species
GUUUACGUCCAUGCCACCCUGAACAAGCCCGAUCCCGUCUGAUCUUGGAAGCUCAGCAGGAUCAGAACUGGUUAGUUCUUGGAUGAGAGACCACCAAGGAAGACCAGGUGCUGUAGGCA